rnacentral:rRNA from 1 species
AUUGAACGCUGGCGGCAUGCUUUACACAUGCAAGUCGAACGGCAGCGCGGGCUUCGGCCUGGCGGCGAGUGGCGAACGGGUGAGUAAUACAUCGGAACGUGCCCAGUAGUGGGGGAUAGCUCGGCGAAAGCCGGAUUAAUACCGCAUACGACCUGAGGGUGAAAGCGGGGGAUCUUCGGACCUCGCGCUAUUGGAGCGGCCGAUGGCAGAUUAGCUAGUUGGUGGGGUAAAGGCCUACCAAGGCGACGAUCUGUAGCUGGUCUGAGAGGACGACCAGCCACACUGGGACUGAGACACGGCCCAGACUCCUACGGGAGGCAGCAGUGGGGAAUUUUGGACAAUGGGCGAAAGCCUGAUCCAGCAAUGCCGCGUGCGUGAUGAAGGCCUUCGGGUUGUAAAGCACUUUUGGCGGGAACGAAAAGGACUGUGCCAAUACCACGGUUCGAUGACGGUACCCGCAGAAUAAGCACCGGCUAACUAUGUG